GAAGAAGAGAAACGGCUUGGCAA
rnacentral:siRNA from 1 species